rnacentral:lncRNA from 1 species
GCGGCGAAUAAAGGGGGGGUAGUUUUAUUUAUAAAUACAGAACUACAAUAAUUAGCAUUUCACAUAUUGAAGCACUGCACAGAAAAUGAACAAUUAAUUCUCAUCAAUGCCCUAAGAUAUAGGUCUGAAUGUUUUCCACACAAAAAACAUGGAUUGCUGUGGGGGCACAAAGAAGUUGUCGGCAGGGAAAGGAAGGCAAAAAGAAUCCUGUUAAUUCAUCCACCAAUGACAC